AUCAUUGCGCACUCCAUCUCGCUCACCUCACCUUUCGUCAGUAUGGUCCCGUCAAGCUCGAACGCGGUGUUUGGGAAGCGCGCAAAGGCAUCCAAAGGCAACAAGGAAACAAGUUUUUAAAUUUGAGAAAUGUAGCUAUAUUACGGCCUGAGCUACAGCUGCUCUUUUAGAGACAUCUACGAAAGAAAUGGAUGAAGUAUGACUCAAGCAAUAACAAAGAAAAACUGAGGCCCCCAAACACAAUGUUCUACCUACUGGCUUGGAUGAAAUACAAAUACAAAAAAAAUAUAUAGAUUCAUUUAUGAUUUAAAAGUUCCGAUUUUGAUAUGAUCGAAAAUAGGGCGUGCAAUUUUUAGUUACAGCAAACAAGCUUUAAGAAAAAUACUGUCAUUACAGUGCAUUGUUGAAAUAAUGAGACAAUAAAGAGAAGUUCGUGUUU